rnacentral:lncRNA from 1 species
GCCAUUUUCGAGUGAUGCCUGAUCUCAUCAAUCUAGCGGGAGAGACGGGAUAACCUGUCCGAGAUUAUAGCGCCGCUAGGACUCCGCCGAAAAAUCACUUAAAAAAUUGCCAAAAAUUACUUCGUGCAAAGGGCAGCCCGCGGAGCUUCACCAGGGUUGGCGCAGACGGUAAGAACCUGAAGAAGUAACAGCGGGACCUGGGAGGUGGCAGUGGGGGACCGUCAGGCGAUGGGGGGGGGGGGGCAGCGAGGGGGCACUGGGUCCGCCCUCNNNNNNNNNNNNNNNNNNNNNNNNNNNNNNNNNNNNNNNNNNNNNNNNNNNNNNNNNNNNNNNNNNNNNNNNNNNNNNNNNNNNNNNNNNNNNNNNNNNNNNNNNNNNNNNNNNNNNNNNNNNNNNGGGGCUCCGCAGGCCGGGGCUUCUUGACAGGAGAGGGGCGAGCGUCCCCUCCCCCAUUUGCCAAACCGAGCGGUCUUUAAUCGCAGUUUUCCCGGCCCGCUGACGGCCGUCUUCUCGUGACAUGAAAUUUAAGAUCUACGGAAAAUUAAGGACCGAGAGUCUAGUGGGUGCCUCCAGUCCGUCGUGCGGACCUGCUGUCCGCGGGACCCAGCACUGUAUAUUGUGUUAGACGCUGAAGCGUGAGGUGCCCUCGGAAUGUGGGUUUCACAACGUAGCCCUACGGCUUUGCGCUCCUCGGUCCCGGCAGGAGUAACCCUGACGGUGUCUGGCUUUUCCAAUUUGGGCAAGAUAGGGCGGGGGCAGACUUUUGAGGUUUCAGCGGGCUCCUAGGGAAGAUGCUGGACUUUCGCUUUUCGCUCGGGAUUUUUGUCCUUUGCUCUCACGGUGUUGUUUUUUCUGGGGGGGAGGGGGUGAAAGAUAGGGUUUGGAGCUUGCAAUUUCCUUCUCCCAGUUGCACUUUUCUUAGAAGACUCCUCCGAUCUCUGAAACAUGUCUCAGGGAAAAAAAAGCAAUCUGUGAAACUGUAUUGAUGUUUUCCUCACGAAAAAGUCUUAGCCCGGACAGCUUAACGGUAAUUUUGCGAUCUCCACCUUUUCUCGGGAACUCUCUUGACUGAGGCGGAGGGAAGAGGACUGUUAUUUGUCUUUCCCUUUAGUGAUUUUUUUUUUUUUUACGUCGUAGUUUCUACCAAUUCUUAGUCGAUAACUCUUGAAUGAUUUGAGCCAGUUACGGUUUUAAGCAGUACUUUAUAAAUAAUGGCCUUCGUAAAAAUUAUUCAUUAAAGAUCUGUUAGGUUUUGAGUCUUUUUCUGCGCUGAAGGCACCGCUGAUUAACCCUUUGCCGGUGUGUUUUGCAUGUGGGGCGCGCGGCUGUGGGUUGCGAAUAUGCAGGAGAUGGGUUUUGCAGCAGCUAUUCAAUUGUUCGCGAAGAGGAAAAACGCUUUCUGGGGACCGCACUCACACCCUCUUUAGGACCACCUGCCUGAAGAGUUUUUCCCCCUGGAAUUGAUGUAACGAUUGAUUGAUUUCUUAUUUCUGUAAAGACUGGAGGACCCGCCCUCACUUAGAAUCUGUCCCCGAGGAGAAUAGGAGAGCGCAAUGUGAUGUUUUUCAAAUUGUGUCUAACGGAGCUCCCAAAACACCGGACUUGUUACCCCCUGAUUGGCUGGAAGGGAGCGGGACUAGGGGGUUUGAAAGUUGAACACUAGAUUGUGAUUCUCGACUUUGAGAAAAAUACUUUUAGAGAACCACGGAAAUAGUUAGGAAACGUUAAGACGGGGAGUUUGGGGGGUGGGGGGGGAAGCUGGUGUUUAGUAUUUUUUUUCUUCCAUAAAGGACUUUCGAACAGUUCUGAAAUGUGUAUUAAAAGUAAAACUGAGGAUGCAGUUUUCGCAAAAAUUGUAAUUCUGUUGGCUGAAAUUGCAAGAUUUUUAUGUGUUUGCCCCUGUUAUCUGUUGGUUAAAAACUGACUGUAGGGUCUAGGGUUUUUAUUUCUUUGGCAGAAAAUUUUCAACUUAAGCUACACAUUUCGAUGCAGAGUUCGGGAGAAUUGUUUCUUUUAUUUUGAUGAUAAGAAACUUAACAUUUCUUAGGAACGAGCCUCCCCACAUUGCCCAUAAAAAUUGUAUGUAUUUAAAUUUAUUUUCCACAUCUAACUUAAAACACAUGGGUUUUGCAAAUUCAGGCAUUGCUGUGGACUUAAAACUUUAUUAACAAGAAAUUUACGUUGCUUAAUUUAGACAAUACAACAGGUAAGUAUGCACAGGUGCUUAUGUAUGAUUUCAUUCCUUUGAUAAAUUCACUGUGAAGAAAUACAUCGCAUACACCAUUGUGGGUGUGUUGUGUCUUACUUGGUUGGUUUUCAGUUCAUUUUUGUUUAAUGUUGGUUGAGACAGCCGUCAAUAUAUUUCUAUUUAUUACCAAGCUUGUCAUUCCGUUUAAUUGCAUCUUGAUAAAAGGCGGGUGUGGUUUUCAAAGCAAAUCGGUGAAGUCAGUGAUAAACAAGAUAGCUGUAGGUACUUUUUAAAAGAUUUUUUAAUUUAAUAGAAAUUAAUGUUCUUUUAUGAAUAGCAGUUGAAAUUUUGAAACUUAGUUUGUAUUCUAACAUUAGGUCAAAUAUACAUUGUUAGAAGAUAUUCAAAUGAAAAGAUCCCACGACUUUUAAAAUCUCUGUAGGGCUAUAAAUAUAAUUUAUAUUGAGUGAAAUAGCUGAGUUUAUAAAUAAUGCUAUUUUGUAUUGCCUUCAUAACAAGAAUUGCAAUUGUGGAAUCUUUGUUCAUUACCUUUCUUCAAAGCUGUUUAUUUUGAAUCAUCUCAUGAAAAUUUCAUGAAAGGUGCUAAUUAUCCUCUCUAUAAAAUUUGACUUAAUGAAGUUGUAGGAGACCUCAUUUCUGUUUUAAGUGUAAUUUUACCUAUGAUACAGAACUAUCAGGUUUUGCUUUUUUUACUGUUAUUUUGGGUUUGGGGUUUUAAUUUUCAUUCAGAUUAUUAUGUGACUUGGAGAGUUUUGAGGGUGGGGUAAGAGAGGGCUUUAAAUUCCACCAGGCGGGUUAAACUUAACCAUACUUUUUUAGUGCUUUGGUUUAUGAGGGUUUUUGUUUGUUUUAAGGAGUGAUGGUGAAGAAUUGUUUUAUUUAAUAAGCCAUUUUUUAAAGAAGUGAAGGAUUCCUUUAUUUAAAAUACUACACUUAAAGCUUGAGAAUGUACUAGCACCUAAAUAAAAAUGACAGCAUUUAAAAUAUUUUCUCUUUUUAUGUGAUGGGUUUUUAGAUUUGUGGCCAUGUAGGUAUGAGUUCCAACAUGUAUAUUAUUAUUACGUAUAGUAUCCAUAUUUCUCUGUAGAAAUUGAUAAUUCUCAUUUUCUAUUGUAAGGACUAGAAAAGUCAUUUAUUCCCUCUGGAAAACAAUGGUGGGUAAAGGUGUUGCCAGUAGCUCUACUCUUUUUAAAGCUAUGUUUAUAUAACAUGGGGGAGAGGGAACUAGAGAAGGUAAGGUGUCAGUCUUCCUGGUAGCAUUGAUAUUCAUUUGUUUGCCUUUCAAUUUUUUUUAAAACUCCAAAUAAAAGUGCAAUUUUAGACUUUGCUUUAAUGCUAUUAACUUGCCUCAGUUGUACAUUUACAAAAUAUAACCUCCAGUGUUUGCAAGUAACACUACAUUUUUUCUAAUCAGAUUAAUAUCACUUUUUAAUGUUACCAAAAACUGGAACCAAGGAUGAAAAUUUCACAAUAGCUUUCAUAUUCUGGAUCCCUUGUUUCAUCAUGUUUUGUGUACUACAUUUUUGUUUUUUGUUUGUGAAGACGUGUAUAUUUUUAUUUCUGUUUAUUGGCAUGCAGUAACAAUAUACUUCAAUAUUGGUCAGUUAAUAAGAUUUACAAGAAAAAAAAAAAAUGCCCAGAGACUGUAUUGGGUAUUUCUUCUAUGUGAUACAUAAGCUUUCUCCAAUUAAAAAAAAAUCAAUUAAAUACACUAUUUUGAAAUUUUAUUGUAUAAAAAUUUGUCUCUCAUUUUAAAAAAUUUCACUGGCCUAAAAUUGGCUUUUUUCUUUUUUCCUUUUGUUUAGUGAAACUUAAUAAUUCCCACAUUGAUUUCUUUUUAACCCUUUUUUAGAAGAAACAGGUUAUUGGUCUGAUUAUGACUAGAAAACACAUUUUAGAAAGAACUGUCAUGCCAGAGUGUUCAUGUACAUGUAGUUUUGUUAUUUCUUACUGUUACUAAUUUUUAUUUAGCAAACUUAGAAACACUGUGGCCAGACAACUAAUUUGGCAUGUAAUUAGACUCAAACUAUGACUUGCUGAAAUUUGGUAGCCCCACAUCUCUUAAGACCAAAGGAAAUCAAUAAUAAACUACCACUUUCAAAUAAGUGUCAAAAAUUAGAUUAAGUCAUUUUUGCUAGUGUUAGUAUUAGACUUUAAAAGUCGUGAUUGUCUUAACAAGAGUAGUAUCACUUUUAGAAUUUCACGUUACUAAUAAAUGUUUAUAUGUUUGAUUAUUUGCAUAUACAAAUGACUGUAGAGGCUUCCUAUAAAUAUUGCUUUCUUAUAGGGAAAUGAUUUUCCUUUGCCUUUUUCCUCCCCAGUGUCUGUCUUAGAGAUGCUUUAAAGGAUCUCCUUUUAGAAAGAAAAGUUUCAAAUAUGAACUGAUAUUAAGUAUACAUAUUAAUUUUAUUUUUAAUAUUUUUUAUCUAAUUAUGAGAAGGUUAAUAUACUUUUUUUAUUACUUUCAUAUUUCACUAAAAAGUCUUUGCCCUGGAAAAAUUUUGCACUGGGUUUUAAGUGUAAAUAACUACUUUGUAAUAUGUUUGACAUUGAGUUGUACUAGUUUGGGGGGGCUACAUCUUUUUUUUCUUAUCAUACACAUUUGGUUUAAUAUUUAUCUUCGAUCCAAACCUCUUUUGUUCUUUAUUGUCUAGUAUUUGUUGUUUCCCCACUAUUUGAAAACUUUUGGCAUGGAGUACAUAAUGGUUUCUAUUUUCUUUCUGUGAUUUUUAAAGUUGUGACACCUUAAUUUUCAGAGUGCUCAAAUAUAGAAAACUUUGUCUAGAUCUUUUGAGAAGGACUAUGUAGAAAUGAUUUUAAUGUUUCAAAAUGUCAUGGUUUUUGGGUUGAUGUUUGUGAGUUACAUAUGUGUGCUAUUUGUUGUUAAAUAUUUGGCGGCAGAGGAAUAAAGGUUUUUUGGUUCUCAUUUCUUUUCCUAAGCUAUUCUUAAAUAACAGUAGAAAUCUGAACUCGUUAACAUACGGUACGGUAUAAACCUAUGGUAAUUUAACAACUUUAUAUUUUUACAUAAUUGCCAUUAAAUCAUUAAGAUUCAAGUGAAACAAAUGAAGAAGCCACUUCUAUACAUUUGGUUACACCAUCUACCUGGAAAUAUGAAAAAACCAUUGGCCCAAUAGUCAUCCACUUGUUACUUAUAAAUAUUUUAAUUUAUUUAAAAAGUUAAUUCUAAAUUUUUUUUCUGUUAGAACUGUAAUGUCUUAAAAUAUUUGGAAAUAUCAGUAUAAUUGUUCACUUGGGCAUGGCAAAAGACCAAACUUAAGAAUAGUAAUUUCUGUCAUCAUUAAAAUGUUUGAUAAUUUGGGGAGAAAGGUAGUUAAAAAUUUAUCUCUGUCUCUUGAGUAGUUCUUUUAACUGUGGAUUUUAUGAGUUUUAGAAACACAAACUGUAUUUCUGAUAUUUUCCUUAUGGAGUCACCUUUACCAGUCCUCCAGCACUUACACACACACACACACACACACACACACACACACACCUUUGAAAAUGAAUGCCCUAAAGAGAAAUGAAAGCAGAAACAUAUUAAUCUGAUUUGUUUGAAGAGGCUUCAGAUGAUAAAGCAUAUCACAGGUGUUUCUAAUCAAGUUAUUUCUGCUUAAAAAACAUUAUUUUCAAGUUAGGGUUUCUUUGAACACAGGCAAGAUUGGGGUCAUUUUGAAGAUUUUUACCUUCGUGUUCAGGGAUCAACUGUGGAACUGCAGGAGGCGGAAAUCUGUUGAGUGUCUUCAUGCUAUAAUACAUGACAUUUUUAUUGCAGGUUUUGACCUUUAGGAGAGAGCCAAUUCUGGAGAACAACCUAACUUCUCUGAUUGAACACUCACAUAAUGCAUUGGAACAUGAUAGGAGAUUAAGGUAUACUAAUGAAUUUUAAAAGCAUACUAUUUCAUAUCUUUGCAGUAUAAUUGGACUAGACCAUUAGUA